UUUGUGUGUGGUGUAUAUAUAUAUAUAUAUAUAUAUAUAAAAUUUUAUGUGUAAUUUUAUUUUUAUUUUUAUAAGAAUUAUAAUUAUAAUUAUUUAUGUUAAUAGUAUAAAUCUAAAAAAAUUUUAAUUUAACAUAUGAAUUUUUGUUCCGAAUUUUUAAAUGAUAAACAUAAAAUUCUCAUUUAAAUCCCAUAUACGAAUUAUUGACGAAUCCGAUUUUUAAAGUAUAAAUCUAAAAAAAUUUUAAUUUAACAUAUGAAUUUUUGUUCCGAAUUUUUAAAUGAUAAACAUAAAAUUCUCAUUUAAAUCGCAUAUACGAAUUAUUGACGAAUCCGAUUUUUAAAUCGUAUUUUUAAUGAAUUUAAAAAUUAAAAUACGAAUUUUAUUUGUAUUUUAUCCGUACUAAAUUUUUACCGUAUCUGAAUUAACUAACUAUGUUCUUGCUUGCUUGCGAUCCAUAUGUAUAUUAUAAAUUAUAUUUACCAUUGUGUUAUGUUAUAAUGUUGAGUUUUAUGUAAUUGUAAAAAUUAUAGUAGAUUUAAUUUUUUGAAGUUUGGUAGAUUAAUUAUCUACUAUG
rnacentral:lncRNA from 1 species